CUGCUUCAUCAUAAGGCGAACCAACGAUUUCAUGUGCCUGGUAAUAUUACUACUGUUCUGCAGUUUAGGAAUCUAGACAAUAACUCCUGUUCUUUGUUCUCCUAUUCUGAGGUCAGCAUAAUGAUAUGGCUAAACAAAUGCUGACAACCACAGCUGCCGAGGGCUCAAGAGCACAAUGUCAUGUUAUGCUGCAAGAAGAUGUGAAAAAGCUGCUUCACACUCUUGCUGCCACAGCUGAGAGACACUCCUUUUGCCAUGUCCUUCAUGCUCUGAUGGACUGUUCCUUUAAACCAUGAGUCAAAAGAAACCCUUCAACACUUAAGUUUCUUCCUGUCAGGUGAUGAUAUUCUGCCUUGUAUUGGAGCAAGGAAGCAGCAGGCAUUGACCUUCCACUAUGUUCUUAUACAGAGAAGGCUUCUGGGUCUCACCAGAAGGAAAGCUCAAGGAAAAGCCAUGUGGGAGAAGCCAAUGUUUCCUAGAGCCUCAGAAUUUUGGAAUAAAAAAGGUUUGAUUUA
rnacentral:lncRNA from 1 species